rnacentral:rRNA from 1 species
CCCUACGGGGUGCACCCAGGCGCGGAAAGCCUAUAGUGAAUUUGUUGGUGAGGGAAGCAUCGACAAACAGCAGCCUGAUCUUACGGGAGGAGGUUUGGUGCGCUCGGCGGGAGGGUGGAAAGCAUUUCGAGAAAAAGCGUCCCUGGGCGAACGAUUGAUGGGGGAUGAACGGAUACUGGGAAGUUCCGAAUUCGUGCUGCGCGCGAUCCAGUCCGCCGAUGAGGCUUUGGAAAGAAAGAUUGAAUGUAAGGUCGGAGGCCUUGAUCAUGAGGGGCUUCUGGCGAGAGUUUCCACGUCUUAUGGGAUCAAACCUGAAGAUAUGCGAUCACGGAGCAAGAGGCGUGAGAUAGCGCGGGCGAGAGCGGUGUUUUGUUCUUUGGCCGCAAAACGGCUGGAGGCGACGAAUAUGGAAUUGGCGGGGGGGC